rnacentral:rRNA from 1 species
GGUGCUGGGGGCUCGGGCACUCUCUUUGUAGCGAGUCGGGGGAAAGGGGUUGCUCGAGACCGCUAAAACAUCCCAAGCAGGUCACGCGGCGGUGGGUCGUCGACCGGUGGCCGCGCGAGGGUGCAGCGGUGGCCACCCGAAGGCGUUGUAGCAGCGGCCGGCGCAGGUAGGGGAGUAGGUAGAGGUAUCGGGGCGGAGGGAGGGGAAGUGAGGGGCUGGUGUGGGUAGAGACAAGCGGCGGCCGGCAGCGUCCUCGAGCUGGUGCUCCUGCCCGGCGGUGUCCUUGAGUUGGUGCCGCCGCCCGGCGGUGUCCUCGAGAUGGGGUUGUGGUGGAGGGCACCACGGCGACGAUUAGUCGCCGUCCCUUGUGGUCAAUCGGUGGUGGCGGCCGGUCGGAGAGUGGGCUCGACGUCGUGGUGGCGGCCGGAAGGAUAGUGGGUUAGACGUCGUGGUCGCAGCCGGAAUGAGUUCUACCUUUUCCUUUUCCGUUUAACCCUACGUGUAGUGUAUUGGCACAAAACACUCAAUACGUUUCUACUCCACCUAUUUCCAUUAUCCGGUUUCGCAACAAACUUGGCAUCUCCCAUGUUUGUAGAACUUCUCUUCAAGAAACUAUUCUGACCUUUUUCUACAAGCGUCUUAGUCAAAUGUUUAUUUACCCUGUACGACUUCUCUGUUAUACAUGUUAAGUACAACAACUUUGUACGCCGCUGACCCGAUCCAACCCUACUACACUUCUUUUGAUAACAUCGGCUACUACUGACCACCUUUCAAGUAGAAUUCUUUUUGGGCUUCGUACGUUUCAUAUUCUUUUUCCCGAACAGAUUGAACCUUCUUUACGUUUCCUCCCGUUCCAGAGUGGAUUCCUACCGUUCAGACGUUUCCUCCCGUUCCAAAGUUUUUUACACUUCGCGUUCCGGUUCAAAUAACUGCUCAGUCGAUUCCUCCUGUUCUUGGGGAAAGAUGCACUCAUAUUCCGGUGUGAUCCCUUAUAUUUGAAUCUCUAUCGUCGAUGAGUACGAGGUUGUUCACAACAAGGAUGGUACUUCCUUCAAGAUUGAAGCUACUUCCUCACACCGCGCCUUCUCCCUUGAGGAAACAUAAAGUGUCGUUGGCUGGAACAGGAGGUUAGCUUGAUAUCUCUCAACAAGUACGAGUAGCUCUGUUUUCUCCCCUCCGAACUAACCGACUUUUCCUUUGUACUAGUUUACUUGUUUAUCAUGGUGUGCUGGAACAGGAGGUUGGCUAGAAGCACUACAUUACUUGGUAUAGAUACAAUAAGAAGAGGUUGGCUAGUUGAUAAACAUCUUGAUAAAUAAAACGAUACAUACUUGUGCACAGAAGCACUACAUUACUUGGCAUAGAUACAAUAACAAGAGUACAAACAAUCUAUCUAUGGUAUAGAUACACAUGUACAACGACGGUAUACAGAUGUACAACAACAACAGGUCAAAAACAUAUACAACAACGACGGUCAAAGAAGGUAUUAAUCGUCACAACAACAGGUUAAAAACAUGUACAAGAACGAAAGUAUAGAUUGUUACAACGACGGGUUAAAAAACCAUCUACUUACCUCACCUGGUCCUAUGGCUACUACUCGGAUUGUUUUCCUCCUCUUUCGAGUGCGCCAACCGUUGAAACCGUACAGUUCAACCUACGUACCCGGUGUAUCCAUUAGUGAUAUGGUUCUGGAUAGAUGUUUUUCUUGGUAUAUCCUAAGGUCUUGUUUGACCAGUACUUACCCAAUACCUCUGAGAACCAGCCUUUUCCUCAACAAUAUCCUACAAAUCCUACUUAGGUUCUCAUAAAGUCAGUAAUGUAUUACAAGAUCACAGAGUAAUACCUAACUUCAGUUCAUCUCUUCAUUGUAGUGUUCUCAGAAAUCGAUACAAGAACACCUAUCAACCACCUGGAGUUAGUAAGAGAGUUCAACUUUUAGCAAAAAGUUCUAGUUUCCUUUGUCAAGUAACUUUCAAGUUUCUUCAUAACUUAACGAACACGUUCAAUCGUCCUGUAUUGUAUUGUGGAGCACUACUAAGAAAGUGUUGGUACGUACUUUCUUAAGUUCUACUCUCCAAAACCGGAGUAAAGUUUCCACGGUAACCGCGUUAUCUACCGACGGUGUAAGGUCAAUGUCAUGGUCACCUACUCCAACUCCAGCUGUACCUAAAGGUAGUGUUUUACAAUACCGCCAAACACUAAAGCUGUACUCCAAAUGAAAACAACACCGACCAACCGGGCCAAGUCUUGUACUGUGUUCCUAGAAUUUACUAUCGAACCAGUUCAUGCGUCUAUUCAAGGGAUGUGGAGGUCGUCCUUGUAUAAUGGAGCAGCUGAGCCUUAUAGGUUUGGCACUUCCUAUAGAACGAGGAAUGUUUCCAGUUUAUAUGGUAUAUGGCCUUAAAGCAUUACCCGUUUUUGGCCACCCUUUUAAGCUCCACAUAUUAGUACGAGUGAGAAGUGAAGCUUUGCAGUAACUUGCUUGUAAACCUCACGAGUUUCGAUUUACCGCGUAGAACUUCCCAUACGGAUCAAAGUCGGGAGCAUCUGUUUUUUUCUAAUAAUAACGGACAUACAGUAACGUGUUGAUGUAAGCACUCUGGUUCAACGGACUACUCCUCAAACUGUUUACACUACUUCUACUUCUAAUACAAGGGCUACUCCUGAACGCUCAUGCCAGUGAGGUUCCUCUAUCACAAGGACGCUCUGAACUGUAGCAGCUGUACUUGUUUCAAGCACUGUCCUAACGAUUGAGGAACUACUCGAGCUCACCUAUCUCAACAACCCUACAUCUUCACAUAUAUUAUAAAACGUGGCGAGGAUCAUUAGAUCAACAACCCGACAGCAAAGAAUUUUUACGUUCCCAACAUUACAUGACUACAUAACUAGUUACUACUUUAUAAACCC